CGUUGAAACAUCGGCUCUCGUAUGAUCACCGAAGUUAAACAACGUCAAGCCUGGUCAGUAUCUAAAUGGGUGACCGCUUGGGAAUACUAGUGGU